AGGAACUGCUUUCCUUAAGAAACAGGAGUUUUAUGGUCCCAGAACAAACAUUAUUUUUAGAUUGGUGAAAUAUGUGUUUUUAACAGAUGCCUUUUGUGCCCUCUGUCACAUCCCCUCAAGCCUGCCUCUGAAUUGAACAAGUUAUGGUGGACACCUUCUAGGCUAGUACCACGGCCCCACCUCAAGUGACUCCCAGGUCUCUCUGUUUUUAUAUGUCAGGCUUUUUGCAAGCAUAGGAUCAGUCAGUCAGGAGCAAGAAAGUGUGGAAUUGCAGAGGAAUUAAUGCCUCUGGGAGCAACCUUCAACUAGUGGAGAAGAGGAGCUGAUGGACAUACCCCAUCCUCCUU
rnacentral:lncRNA from 1 species